GGCACUUUGGUUGGAAAACACUAAAACAGACAGUGAUUACAGCUCCCAGCAGCUAUUUCUUACUUUUAUAUGAAAAAGACUGAACUUCUGGACAUCGGGGACCCCACAUCUGGGUUUCCUUAUAAUUUGCAGAGUUUCCUUGUUUAUUUUUCCGGUGACAUUAAGACCAAAAAAGGUUACCCCGAAAUUCAAGGGGAUACCUUGGCUGAAAUUUAUUUGCUGAAGGAGGAGUCUGUCUGUGUCCUUGCUGUGUCCUCGGGUGUGGCCAAUGAGGAGGACUUUACUUUCUUUGGGGUGAAGGAGAUGCUUGAAACUAAUGGGCCCCAUGGCACAGAACCAGUAGCGAAGGAUAGCCUAUAGCAGCUCUGGCCCGACUCCAGAGUUCCCUUGGUCAUGGCUGCUGCAACCCCUGGAAGAGCUCCAAGGCCUGUUAUUCUUUCAUCUGACCAGCACAAUUACAUUGCCAAUAGUACCCCAUACUCAGGUCAGGACAUAUGGCACUACUUUGCACAUUUCCCAAAGACCAUAUGGUUACUAGUAAAGGCACCAACCACUUCAAGGAAGGAACUUUGAACUUUUGUCUAUCUCCAAGGGCACUACCUUCAUCACUCCUCAGCCACCAUGACUGAGUGCCGAGGACAGCUGCAUUUAAGAGGGGGAGUUUGUGGUGUCCCAAGGACUAAGGCUGUCCUGUGGCUUCGGACUUUCUCAGGAAGACCUGCAGCACAGGUGUUGGGCAGACUAAAGGACUGGUUAUCACUGUUAUCAUGUUGAAGCACUUUAUUCAAUUGUUAAUAUAUUUUUUCAUAAGUAUUGUUAUGUGUUAUUUGUGUAAGUUUUGUACCGUUAAGAGUGGAGCAGUAUAAGCCCAUGUGACUCUGUAUGCCCAAUUGGAACCCCUAAAUUCUUGGCCAUAUAGUGUAGUGGGAGGAGGAGUUUACCCAGUUGAGAGUUCAGUUGUUCCUGAGCAUCAUUGUGGUAUAGGUGUGAGGUGUGUGGAGAAGCUCUGAGGAAAGGCCUAGAACAAAUCUAUCUUAUCCAAUCAAUCUGCAAGGAUUGCCCGCAUGGAGAAAGUUCAUGUUCAAGUUCAAAUCUAUCUUAUCCAGUCAUUCUGCAAGUUCAUGCCCUGGCGGAGAAAGCUACAGGACCUUGACAAAACCCUAGCUACCUGGAUCAAUCUUCAGUUCUUUCUCAAGUCAGUAUCAAUCUAUUGGGUGAAAGCACUACCAUUCCGAGCAAGGCAACAGGGCUCCCAAGGGGUUAAACUGCAUCCUCUCCACUUUGCACCAUACUGUCUGUGUAUCAACAUCUGCACCCUGCUCAGUAAAGGCAGCUAACUGUAACCUGAUGUCGGUGUGUUCCUUUACUUCCCGUGUCUGGCCCGGGAGAAGCUGUCUCCAACUUCGUGUAUAGGUUAACAGUGCCCUGG